rnacentral:rRNA from 1 species
GCGCGAAAACUUUACAAUGCCGGCAACAGCGAUAAGGGAACCUCGAGUGUCAGGUUACAAAUCUGGCUGUCGAGAUGCCUAAAAAGCAUUUCAUAGCAAGGGCCGGGCAAGACCGGUGCCAGCCGCCGCGGUAACACCGGCGGCUCGAGUGGUAACCGUUAUUAUUGGGUCUAAAGGGUCUGUAGCCGGCCGGAUAAGUCUCUUGAGAAAUCUGGCAGCUUAACUGUCAGGCUUUCAGGAGAUACUGUCUGGCUCGAGGCCGGGAGAGGUGAGAGGUACUUCAGGGGUAGGGGUGAAAUCUUGUAAUCCUUGAAGGACCACCAGUGGCGAAGGCGUCUCACCAGAACGGACCUGACGGCAAGGGACGAAAGCUAGGGGCACGAACCG